rnacentral:rRNA from 1 species
AUGGCAACUUAUCUCCUCGCCGCUUUGACACUCACUCACCAUCUCACCCAAGCGUGGGAUUGUUGCCUACCAAUUUGGACCUUCGUCAUAUGUCCCUCUACAUCCCUUUUGAUAUGUAUGUUUCGUGUCUCAGCUCAAGAGAUGUUUUAUAUCUCACCCCAAGAGUUGAUCUUGAGUUGCCUGAUCUUCGAGAAGAUCGAUUCAUGUAGAGUUCCUGUCCAUCGUCAUCGUGUUGGAUGCAGAUCUCGAAAGAAAGGAUGCCAAGAUCGAUCUGAAGCAAUGGAUCAUGAAGAUCGUGUUAGUUUGUGCCCUCUGUCUUCUUACCUCACGUCUUGA